rnacentral:other from 1 species
AAAGCCCUACUAUGUACGUGAAAACCUUGAAGUUUUUUCCAACACAUUUACAAAGGGAGUCCGGUUCUCUGGUUGUAGCUUGUAUGCCUCCUUCGUUGAGGAAACAAAAAUCAUCCAGGAGGACACCCACCUGUUACAGCAGGUUCAAACUUUUGGGCGUCACGGCAUCGGUGGGGUUUCU